rnacentral:rRNA from 1 species
GGGGUGCAGCAGGCGCGAAAACUNUCCAAUNUGCGAAAGCGUGAGAGGGGAAUUCCUAGUGCUCAUGGUUUAUCCAUGGGCUUUUGCCAUGUGUAAAUAGCAUGGCGAAUAAGUGGUGGGCAAGACUGGUNCCAGCCGCCGCGGUAACACCAGCGCCACGAGUGGCGUUCACUUAUUGGGCCUAAAGCGUCCGUAGUCG